GAUGAACGCUGGCGGCGUGCCUAAUACAUGCAAGUCGAGCGAACAGACGAGGAGCUUGCUCCUCUGACGUUAGCGGCGGACGGGUGAGUAACACGUGGAUAACCUACCUAUAAGACUGGGAUAACUUCGGGAAACCGGAGCUAAUACCGGAUAACAUGUUGAACCGCAUGGUUCAACAGUGAAAGACGGUCUUGCUGUCACUUAUAGAUGGAUCCGCGCCGCAUUAGCUAGUUGGUAAGGUAACGGCUUACCAAGGCAACGAUGCGUAGCCGACCUGAGAGGAUGAUCGGCCACACUGGAACUGAGACACGGUCCAGACUCCUACGGGAGGCAGCAGUAGGGAAUCUGCCGCAAUGGGCGAAAGCCUGACGGAGCAACGCCGCGUGAGUGAAGAAGGUCUUCGGAUCGUAAAACUCUGUUAUUAGGGAAGAACAAAUGUGUAAGUAACUAUGCACGUCUUGACGGUACCUAAUCAGAAAGCAACGGCUAACUACGUG
rnacentral:rRNA from 1 species